rnacentral:rRNA from 1 species
UUCAAUAUUGUAUAGUAAUAUAUAAUAUGCACUUUUCUCUUAGUAAGACGCUGUGAUUCAUUAGGAAAUGAUACUAUUAUAUAGUAUUAUUUGGCUACCAAUAGACCAAUAUGAAGUUCAUAUAUGCAAAUAAUACAAUUGAUUAUAAUUGUGUAUAUUGUUUUGUGAGCAUAUUGUUAUCUGUAUUGUAGCUGCCUGAUGGGUUUUAAAGGCCAUAUAAUUAAUGUUUCGGCAUUACCCAUUUAUUUUGGGAUAUAAUAUAUGUGCUCGAUCAACAGCGGUUUCAUUUGGGAUACCUUUGGGACCCGUCUUGAAACACGGACCAAGGAGUCUAUCUAUUAUGCAAGUAAAUGGGUAUUAUAAACCUAUUUGCGUAAAUAAAUUAACUUUUAUGGGAUUACGAUUGAUUUUCAAAUAUGGAUCAUUCCUCCAUCCCGGGGUAUUUUUAUCAACAUAUAUUGUAUGAUAUAUGGAAAAUAUACCAUGAGCAUAUUGGAUAUGACCCGAAAGAUGGUGAACUAUGCCUGAUCAGGUUGAAGUCAGGGGAAACCCUGAUGGAGGACCGAAGCAAUUCUGACGUGCAAAUCG